rnacentral:rRNA from 1 species
AUUGAACGCUGGCGGCAUGCUUUACACAUGCAAGUCGAACGGUAACAGGGAGCUUGCUCCGCUGACGAGUGGCGAACGGGUGAGUAAUGCGUCGGAACGUGCCGAGUAGUGGGGGAUAACGCAGCGAAAGUUGUGCUAAUACCGCAUACGUACUGAGGUAGAAAGUGGGGGACCUUCGGGCCUCACGCUAUUCGAGCGGCCGACGUCUGAUUAGCUAGUAGGUGAGGUAAAGGCUCACCUAGGCGACGAUCAGUAGCGGGUCUGAGAGGAUGAUCCGCCACACUGGGACUGAGACACGGCCCAGACUCCUACGGGAGGCAGCAGUGGGGAAUUUUGGACAAUGGGCGAAAGCCUGAUCCAGCCAUGCCGCGUGUCUGAAGAAGGCCUUCGGGUUGUAAAGGACUUUUGUCGGGGAGGAAAUCCCCAGCGCUAAUACCGCUGGGGGAUGACAGUACCUGAAGAAUAAGCACCGGCUAACUACGUGCCAGCAGCCGCCGUAA